rnacentral:rRNA from 1 species
AGUGGUAGGAAAGUAUUAUUGUUUUGGUGCAGGAUGAGCUCGCGGCCUAUCAGCUUGUUGGUGGGGUAAUGGCCUACCAAGGCGUCGACGGGUAGCCGGCCUGAGAGGGUGGACGGCCACAUUGGGACUGAGAUACGGCCCAGACUCCUACGGGAGGCAGCAGUGGGGAAUAUUGCACAAUGGGCGGAAGCCUGAUGCAGCAACGCCGCGUGCGGGAUGACGGCCUUCGGGUUGUAAACCGCUUUCACCCAUGACGAAGCGCGAGUGACGGUAGUGGGGGAAGAAGCACCGGCCAACUAC